rnacentral:lncRNA from 10 species
GAUAAUGGGGCCGGCUUGGUGGCGCGAACCUGUAGCCUCACCUACUGUCAAGACUGAGACAGGAGGAUCUCUUGAGCCCAGGAGGUCGAGGCUGCAGUGAGUCAUGAUCGCACCACUGCACUCCAGCUUGGGAGACAGAAUAUACCCUGUCUAAAAAAUAAUAAUAAAAAAAAAGGGUUAAAAUUUGGAGGAUAACUCCCAGCUAGAAAGGAAGAAAAGCUCUAAAGUGGAAUCGCCUUCCCCCGGAAGCUGUUGUAAAAAUUAAAGGAUGUAUGUGAGUGCA